AGCUCCAAUAGCGUAUAUUCAAGUUGUUGCAGUUAAAAAGCUCGUAGUUGAACUUUGGUCCUGAUUAGGUGGUUUGAUCGCAAGGUCAACACUGCCUUGGUCGGGACUUUCCUUCUAGGGAACUAGUGUGCUCUUUAUUGGGUGCGUUAGGGAUCUAGGACUGUUACUUUGAAAAAAUUAGAGUGUUCAAAGCAGGCAUUCAUCGUGCCCGAAUACAUGAGCAUGGAAUAAUGGAACAGGACUACGGUCACUGCACUUUUUCCGUUGGUUUCGGAGGACCGAAGUAAUGAUUAAGAGGGACAGUUGGGGGCAUCCGUAUUUCGUAGUCAGAGGUGAAAUUCUUGGAUCUGCGAAAGACGAACGAGUGCGAAAGCAUUUGCCAAGAGUGUUUUCAUUAAUC
rnacentral:rRNA from 1 species